CCUACGGGUGGCAGCAGUGGGGAAUAUUGCACAAUGGGGGAAACCCUGAUGCAGCGACGCCGCGUGAGUGAAGAAGGUAUUCGGUAUGUAAAGCUCUUUCAGCAGGGAAGAAAAGUACCGUUCCUGAGCAAGAAGCCCCGGCCAAUUACGUGCCAGCAGGCACGGUCAGACGUCGGGGGCAAGCGGUAGCCGGUAUGUCUGGGUGGAAAGUGAGCGUAGGCGGCAUGGCAAGUCUCGAGGGAAAGGCGGGGGCCCAACCUCCGGACUGCUCUUGAAACUGUACGGCUGGAGUGCAGGAGAGGUAAGUGGAAUUCCUGGUGUAGCGGUGAAAUGCGUAGAUAUUAGGAGGAACACCAGUGGCGAAGGCGACUUACUGGACUAUAACUGACGUUGAGGCGCGAAAGCGUGGGGAGCAAACAGGAUUAGAUACCCCAGUAGUC
rnacentral:rRNA from 1 species